CAGUCGCCGCGGGAAUACGAAGGGUGCAAGCGUUACUCGGAAUUACUGGGCGUAAAGCGUGCGUAGGUGGUUGUUUAAGUCUGCUGUGAAAGCCCUGGGCUCAACCUGGGAAUUGCAGUGGAUACUGGGCAACUAGAGUAAGGUAGAGGAUAGUGGAAUUUCCGGUGUAGCAGUGAAAUGCGUAGAGAUCGGAAGGAACAUCUGUGGCGAAGGCGACUAUCUGGGCCAUUACUGACACUGAGGCACGAAAGCGUGGGGAGCAAACAGGAUUAGAUACCCGGGUAGUCCCUGUCUCUUAUAC
rnacentral:rRNA from 1 species